rnacentral:lncRNA from 1 species
UCGCCAUCACUUCGUGCAGCUCGACGAUGUUGGGGUGUUUCACCAUUUUCAUGACGGAGAUCUCUCGCUUGAUCUGCUCCAUCAUCCCGACUUGGAUCACUUUCUCUUUGCCCACCACUUUCAUGGCGACACUCUUCCCUGUUUGAAGGUUCUUCGCAUGGUAGACUUUGGCGAAGGUUCCAUGACCCAACAUACGGCCAAGCUCGUAUUUUCCAUGGAGUAAAGAUGGGUUUUCGGUUUUAGCUUUGUCCGCCAUUUUUGAACCGUAAAAGCUCGAGAAAUUAAAAAGAAAAAUAAGAAAAGAAACGGAUACCCUUUGAUCUGA